CACCAGCGCCUCGAGUGGGGAUCGCGAUUAUUGGGCCUAAAGCGUCCGUAGCAGGCUUUGUAGAUCCUUUGUGAAAUGGGCAGGCCUAACCUGCCCGCGGGCAGAGGAGACCGCAGAGCUUGAGACCGGGAGAGGUCAGAAGUAUUCCUAGGGUACCGGUAAAAUGGGUUAAUCCUGGGAGGACUACCAAUGGCGAAGGCAUCUGACCAGAACGGUUCUGACUGUGAGGGACGAAAGCUAGGGGAGCAAAACGG
rnacentral:rRNA from 1 species